GUCUCCUUGAAUAAUAAGAUAUGGGGAGUCGGACCUGCCCAGUGACUAAGUGUUAAACGGCCGCGGUACCCUAACCGUGCAAAGGUAGCAUAAUCAUUUGCCUUUUAAUUGGAGGCUGGUAUGAAUGGUUUGACGAGAGCUAAGCUGUCUCUUUUGAAAUAAAUAGAAUUUAACUUUUAGGUGAAGAGGCCUAAAUUUAUUUGAGGGACAAGAAGACCCUGUUGAGCUUUAGUGAAAUUAUAGAUUUAAGACUUGUGUGGUUAGUAGGUAUGUGUUAUAAUCUGGUCUAUAAGAAGAUCUUUAGUUGGGGCGACUGAGGAACCAAAAAAGCUUCCUUUAAGAUUAGUUAGUAAAUUUAUGUUUGAAAAAUAAUUUAUUUUGUCAGGAUAGAAAUGAUCCAGAAAUUUUGAUCAAAGGAAAAAGUUACCACAGGGAUAACAGCGUAAUCUUUCUGGAGAGAUCAAAUCGAAAGAAGGGUUUGCGACCUCGAUGUUGGACUAAGAUAUCCGGAGGGUGUAGAAGUUCUCUAUGGUUGGUCUGUUCGACCAUUAAAAUCUU
rnacentral:rRNA from 1 species